AUUUGCAUGUUCGUCCGAUUGAGGACUCUGAUUGGUCAAUGAGAAAAACGCCCCUUCCAGAAAGGUAGCUGAUUGGCUGUUGCUGUGGCACGCUCUGCUCCACGCCCCGUUUGAAUGCAGGUCCGCGCCGAGGCGGAAUGCCGGCGGUUUGCGAGUGACGGGGACCGCGGAGGUGUCGCUGUGGACACGUGUCUGAACGUUACCGACGAUGCGGAGUCACCGAAAUCCGGGCUGCUGGUGUCAAGCUUCUUGGGAUCCAUAAUCGCUUUUGGGGGAAAAGAUCAACCAGAAAAACAUCCGAAGGCUCCGUGUGCUGAUCAGCUGGAUCCCUUCUUGCUGAAGGAUAUGGCUGAGGGUAGAGAUGACAGAAGAAGUCGUCCUUCGAGUAAAAUGUUUGACAAUGAAACGAGAACAUCGGUCCCAGACCAGCUGGAAGAAAAGGGAUCCAAAGGGCCGUAAUCCCCUGAAGCCUCUUCCAGCCAUGCCAUCCACUCAGUCCUGGGUCUCCUCGGUGGGGCUCACCGCAAGCAGCUCCGCCGAGAGCCGGUCUCGUAACCACACCGUUCCAAACGGGGGCAGGAAGGCGGCGCUCAAGCAUUGUUGCCGUUACUAUGAUGUGAAGGGAGUCAGUGUCCAUGAUGAGCUGUGUCCUUUCGAUCACGGCAGUGAGUCCAUAACAGUGGAUGACAGUGCAUCGCCCGUGAUGAACCCUUUACUGCCUUGGUCCAGCAUGUCCUUGCCACCCAUUACCACUCUGCCUGUUGGGGUCAGGAUGCCAGCAACUCCUCACAACCAGCCCCUACUGCCUGACCCGUUUCCUGGAUCUGGAGUCCACGUCUGUGGCCACACCUCGAACCACAACAGCAGGCGGAAGGGCGAGAGGAGGCCCCUAGAGACCCCCGUGCACUUGCCCCUGG
rnacentral:lncRNA from 1 species